rnacentral:tRNA from 1 species
AGAGGCCGUGGCUUAGUGGUAGAGCAUAGUCUUUGAUGCAGAAGGUGCCAGGUUCAAUUCCUGACACCUCCA